AUAAAUAGAGCCUCGGCUUCAUUAACAGCCUCUCUUCCUUGUUGCGGCGGCGGUCGGUCGGUCGUGGUUUUGUCGGAGAGGCGAGGCCCAGCACAUGUUGCGCUCCAUCCACGAGCCUGGUCCGGACAUGUCCUGAUAAGGUGAGGUAAUGGGAACACUGCAUGGACAGAGACCACAGCUGGAUCGCCCAUGUUUGAUAUUUUGUAUUUUAAAAGGUUAAACUAAGUUGGUUUUUUUUGUUUUUUUUAACUAUAUUCAGUGCACAUGUACAGUCUAAGGCAAAACUAUAUAACUACUCCAUUAUAAAGUCUUUAAUGAUGGCUGUAAUCAGUUUUUGUUGAAACAAUUGUAAAGUAAGUUGUUUUGAGGGAGGCCAGUUCAACACCACCUUUUAACUGACCUUAAUGAUUAGCAUGUAAUUGAAUCAUAUUUCUAACAUAAACUUCAUAAAGGUAAUGUGAUGGCAGAGCUGUUGUAUUGAGUUAUGUUAGGUUGUACAGGUGUACCUAAAUAAAGGCCACAGAGUGAAU